rnacentral:lncRNA from 1 species
UGACUUACAAAACAAGUUUUUAUUAGUUCAACAUCAAAAUCUGUUACAGGUAAUCACAUGUCUGCCUUUGUUACCUCCUUACAGGACGAGGAAUGUUAGAAAUCCUGAGGACACAGGAGAGUUGAAGCUGAUAAUGAACUAUGGCCCAUCACGUCAAGCACACUAAGAUCACGGGACACAGGGACAAAGCUCACUGACCAGUUUCUGCAAGUGCAGCAAGGAUUCACUACAGUGCACAGGACCAGGGGGGCCGCGGACAGGCCGGAUUCGAGACUAAAUCCAGCUGCGGUUCAGUAAUGAAAUCAAUGUGCAGUAACACAGUGACAUAAUAAAUACUCGGGCUGACAGCAGAGGGCACGGCGCGGGACUGACACCUGCUGUCCCCCCUUUGUCCUCAGUCUGACUUUGGAAGAGUGGAGAUCAAAAAGGAACAGUACAGAAAACCACGCGUUAUCUGCAUAGAUAGAUAAGAAACCCUCCUCAUGUCAAGAACGCACAUCCAGUCCAGGCCACGCAGGACCUGCCAGGUCUCAGGACUCACUUCAAGAACUGCAGGUUUCCAGGAGAACAUGAAGCCAGUUAGUGGUGUCUGCAUGCUGACUUAUCUGAGAUCACUUCUAGCCUUGACUAGAAGCUACCAGGAAGAUAAGUCCCCAGCCACAGCCAGAGAUGCACGGUCACUGCUAUCUGUCUGGGGCACCUGGACAUCCAGGAGCCCCCUCGUUGAUGAGACAGGGUCGUGGUACAUGGCCCAGGCUGGCCUUAAACUUGCAAAGUCCUCAUACCUCUGCCUCCCAAGCGCUGAGAUGACGGGAUAUGCCACCGCGCUGAAUACAUUUGGUAAUCCUGACUAUGAAUUGUGCUCUGCCCAAGACUGAGGGAGACAGUGGCACUCUUGAGGAGGAAGAUGGCCCUGGAGAACACAACGAGGGGAGUUUGAAACAGCAGUAGUCACUUGUCACGUGGCUGCUCAAGGUUCAUACAUCUUACUUGGUCCAUGUACUUAGUUUUGUGCAGAAUGAGUCUCUAGAACGCAGGAUUCUUGGCUAGAAGCAAACAUUUCUCCAGGACUGUUCCUCUGAACUGUCACAGCGAGAAAAGGAACAUACCUUAUUCUGAGAGAGGGGUUACUCAUGUAUCCCAGGCAAUCCUCCUGCCUCAGCCUCCUGCAGGCUGAGAUUACACCACACCCAGACAAUGUUCCCUUUAAGACAGAUGCAUUAGGGAACACAGAGGGAAGUGGAGGGUGACCAAGUUCACCUUGCAGGUGAGGUCUGAGGCUUUAUAGAAGGCAAGCAAGCAGGAGUGACCCCAAGGCAUCGAAGAAUCUGGUACACCUCCAUGGUUUAAUUGCGCUCAAAGCUUUCCUCUUAAAACUAAAUCCUCCAGUCUAAAAAUAGUUUACAUAAAAUAUAUAGCCCAGGCCCACCACGAGUCUUGAAUAGAACCUGAUUUUCUAAGCAGAGGGAGAGGGACAUCCCACAGCAAACCUUUAACUCCAUGCAUUCUUUGAGCCUGGGUCCCCGUUACCACUGUUUACAUUUUAAUUCCAUGAAUGUGAGUAUCCAGGGAACCCCACGUAAGGUGCUGACACAACUGCUGGUGACCAAGGUAACAGGAUGCACACAGAUUUGAGUGUCUCGACUUAAAAAAGAGCAAUAGAUGUUCUUUAAUUGGUGGGUAGAAAAUGAAAGCCAAGACAAAUUUAAAAACUGGGUUAUGAUCACUUAGAAAAUCAGAGCAUGUACUGUAUAAUGAGGAACACAAAACCUCCCCAGUUGAAAACAUGCUUGCUGACAGCUAGGGUCUAUCCUACAACCAGAAGUAGCAAACUGCUGAGCUUGGCAGGGCCAAGCACAGUGUAGCCAAGGAUGGCCUUGAAUUCCUGAUCUACUGCAUCCAACUCUAAAGUCCCAGGAUGACAAGGGCGUGUGCCUGGAUCCAGUCAAGUUGGAAGACCCACAGGCCUGGAGUUUGAGACCAACCUGGGCCACACUGUGAGACAUCACCUCAAAACAAAAUAUAUGCAUAUAAUCCCUUUACCUGGCAGAUGACUUGUGUGGAUGGAAUGGUUAUCUUCAACUGAAUCUGCACCGAGGCUUCCCAAUGGCAAAUGCAGACUUCAGCAUCUGACAGUGUCUGAAGGCAAGGGACACUCUUCUGUUGUUGAUAGGGAUGGUGGCACACACCUCCAGUCCCAGCACUUAGGAGACAGAGGCAGGAGGACCAGGAGUUCAAAGUCAUCCUUGGGACACAGCAAGUUUGAGAUCAACCUGGACUACGUGAGACCCUGUUUUAAUAAGACAGAAAACAGGUGUGUGUGUGUGUGUGUGUCUCUCUGUGUGUGUGUGUGUGUGUGUGUGUGUGUGUUUCUGUGUGUGCGCUCAUGAAAUCAGUUCUACCACAAAAGGGACUCAGCCCUGACAUGUCACCCAUGACGGCUCUCAUGGCGUCACUUCUCUAAGCUCCUUCCUUUGCAGUAGCAGCUAUGCUACUUUCUGUUCUGUGCCCCUUCACAUCUUCCUGCCAGUUCUGAACGCUUGUGCGACAGAACAGUCGGAUGAGUGGAGCCACUCGAGCGUCUGUAACACAGCACCCCGAGGCAGGAGAGCCAGCCUUCAGCAAGGGACUGCAGCUCAGCACACCAGAGAUGCAGAGUGACCCACGGAACAACACGCCAAGAGUAAGAAGCAGGGCUGGGGAUUUAGCUCAGCGGUAGAGCGCUUGCCUAGCGAGCGCAAGGCCCUGGGUUUGGUCCCCAGCUCCGGAAAAACAAAACAAAACAAAACAAAACAAAACAAAACAAAACAAAAAAACAAAAAAAGAGUAAGAAGCAAUUCUAUCUGGACACCAACUGCAAGUGAAGGUGGAAAUGUUCACUAAAAAGGAAAGCAUGAACUGCAUGCCCAUGCCUGCAAUCCCAACACUCAGGAGGCUAAGGAAAGAGAAUGGUCUUGGGCUCAAGGCCAGCUUGGGCUACAUAAUGAGUCACAGGCUAGCCUGAGCUACAGUGUGAAACCUUGUCUCAAAACAACAAAAACAAACAAAGAAAAAAGCUCAACCACCCCCAAAAGAAUGACUCCUCUCCCUAAUCUGCAGGGGAAAAGUGCAGGUGAUUUUUCUUUCC